AACGCGAAGAACCUUACCUACCCUUGACAUGUACGGAAGUCCGAAGAGAUUUGGAUGUGCUCGAAAGAGAACCGUAACACAGGUGCUGCAUGGCUGUCGUCAGCUCGUGUCGUGAGAUGUUGGGUUAAGUCCCGCAACGAGCGCAACCCUUGUCAUUAGUUGCUACGAAAGGGCACUCUAAUGAGACUGCCGGUGACAAACCGGAGGAAGGUGGGGAUGACGUCAAGUCCUCAUGGCCCUUAUGGGUAGGGCUUCACACGUCAUACAAUGGUACAUACAGAGGGCCGCCGACCCGCGAGGGGGAGCUAAUCCCAGAAAGUGUAUCGUAGUCCGGAUUGGAGUCUGCAACUCGACUCCAUGAAGUUGGAAUCGCUAGUAAUCGCGGAUCAGCAUGUCGCGGUGAAUACGUUCCCGGGUCUUGUACACACC
rnacentral:rRNA from 1 species